GGGCGAUUAGCUCAGUUGGUUAGAGCGCCACCUUUACACGGUGGAUGUCGGGGGUUCGAGUCCCUCAUCGCCCACC
rnacentral:tRNA from 15 species